AGCCUUGAUGUGUAGGAUAGGUGGGAGGCUUUGAAGUGUGGACGCCAGUCUGCAUGGAGCCGACCUUGAAAUACCACCCUUUAAUGUUUGAUGUUCUAACGUGGACCCGUGAUCCGGGUUGCGGACAGUGUCUGGUGGGUAGUUUGACUGGGGCGGUCUCCUCCUAAAGAGUAACGGAGGAGCACGAAGGUUGGCUAAUCCUGGUCGGACAUCAGGAGGUUAGUGCAAUGGCAUAAGCCAGCUUGACUGCGAGCGUGACGGCGCGAGCAGGUGCGAAAGCAGGUCAUAGUGAUCCGGUGGUUCUGAAUGGAAGGGCCAUCGCUCAACGGAUAAAAGGUACUCCGGGGAUAACAGGCUGAUACCGCCCAAGAGUUCAUAUCGACGGCGGUGUUUGGCACCUCGAUGUCGGCUCAUCACAUCCUGGGGCUGAAGUAGGUCCCAAGGGUAUGGCUGUUCGCCAUUUAAAGUGGUACGCGAGCUGGGUUUAGAACGUCGUGAGACAGUUCGGUCCCUAUCUGCCGUGGGCGCUGGAGAACUGAGGGGGGCUGCUCCUAGUACGAGAGGACCGGAGUGGACGCAUCACUGGUGUUCGGGUUGUCAUGCCAAUGGCACUGCCCGGUAGCUAAAUGCGGAAGAGAUAAGUGCUGAAAGCAUCUAAGCACGAAACUUGCCCCGAGAUGAGUUCUCCCUGAGACUUUAGGUCUCCUGAAGGAACGUUGAAGACGACGACGUUGAUAGGCCGGGUGUGUAAGCGCAGCGAUGCGUUGAGCUAACCGGUACUAAUGAACCGUGAGGCUUAACCUU
rnacentral:rRNA from 1 species